UCUCUGUAUCUUAUCAUUAUAUUAUGGAGCGUGGCUUUUCGACAAUGCAAUAAAUGCGGCGGGGCGAAAAAAUGCAUCUCCAAUUAAUGGAAGGAAAACACCCGAUACUCGAGGGAAAUUCAGCACCGGUGCCUCUCCGAUCGCUAAUGGAUUUUGCCAUUGUUCCGUCGAAAGCUAAAGAAAAUAUACUUCAGAGAGCCAGAAGUCGAAUGGCGAGAAGGAGAUUUCUUGUCUAUUAGAGGUAUAUUGAAGAGGCUUAUUUAAUUUGAUUUCCGGAAUUCGAGGGAGAAGCAUUUUUACGCGUCUAUAUAAUCUCACCCGCUGGCCACUCUGGUCCCUCGAUUCUAAUUUCGGCUGAAGAAGAAUAAUCCACGUCACGUUCGAUUGUCGGCUAGCUUUGGUGCCACCGCAGACGAGGAAGGAAUGCGGUGCUGCACGCAUCGCCACUGCGGCCCAAAGGGUUGUGGCUGCGGAAACUCACGGGCAGCAAAAAGCUGCUGCUCAUGGAAGUUUUGGCUUUGAAUAUGCAAAUGGCAAGUUGCAAACUCUGCGGUCAAGAGUUGGAAAUAAAACUUCAGACGCGACAGACGAUUAGAAUUUUGCCUUUUUAGUAUGCAAGAGGUCUUUUGUGACGUUUUAUUAAUUUGUGAACAAAUUUGAUUUUUUUUAAAUAUUCCUUUCAAUACUAUUUUUAUUUUUUAGAGAAACUUUUCCAGCAUUUAGUUUUUAAUUAUAUACUACUGUGUUGAUUUUCAGCAUCAACAAACAGCAAAGAGUUUUUAUUUCACUUAAUAUCAGAUAGAUUCAAAAUGAUUUAUUUCCUUGUUUUCCUGCACUUAGAUCUUGUGCAAAGUGCGUGAAAAUCAGUGUAGCGUUAUUUGGUUUGGCGACUUCCCUUCUCGGAAUUCGCCACCAUCAGAGAAGAGACCCAGGGUUUGAUAUCAGAUGCCGGCGUGAGUAAUGCUGCGAGCUUAUGAGGGGGCGCACAACCGUCUACUUUUACAUAACGGUACUUGCGAGUGUGCGACGGAUCAAGCAAGACACCAUCCAACUCCCCCUCUCGCGCGCCUGCUGGGUUUUUACCUGCGCUUUCCUCCUCAGCCUACCUGCUGCGAGUAAAAAAAGAAAGAAAGAAAGGUCCGCCAUGCGGGUUUUUGUAGAAUG